AGUGAACGCUGGCGGUAGGCCUAACACAUGCAAGUCGAACGGCAGCACAUUAAUCGCUUGCUAUUACGGUUGGCGAGUGGCGGACGGGUGAGGAAUACAUCGGACUCUACUUUUUCGUGGGUUCUAACGUAUGGAACCUAACGCUGAUACCGCAUCCUACCUACGGGUGAAAGCAGGGGAUCUUCGGCCCUUGCGCGUUUGAAUGAGCCGGUGUCGGUUUAUCUUGUUGGCGGGGUAAAGGCCCACCAAGGCGACGAUCCGUAGCUGGUCUGAGAGGAUGAUGAGCCACACUGGAACUGAGACACGGUCCAGACUCCUACGGGAGGCAGCAGUGGGGAAUAUUGGACAAUGGGCGGAAGACUGAUCAAGCCAUACCGCGUGGGUGAAGAAGGCCUUCGGGUUGUAAAGCCCUUUUGUUGGGAAAGAAAAGCAGCAGGUUAAUAGCCCGCUGUUCUGACGGUACCCAAAGAAUAAGCACCGGCUAACUUCGUG
rnacentral:rRNA from 1 species